rnacentral:rRNA from 1 species
GAUGAACGCUAGCUACAGGCUUAACACAUGCAAGUCGAGGGGAAACGAUAGAGAAAGCUUGCUUUUUCUAGGCGUCGACCGGCGCACGGGUGAGUAACGCGUAUCCAACCUGCCCACCACUUGGGGAUAACCUUGCGAAAGUAAGACUAAUACCAAAUGAUAUCUCUAGAAGACAUCUGAAAGGGAUUAAAGAUUUAUCGGUGAUGGAUGGGGAUGCGUCUGAUUAGCGUGUUGGCGGGGUAACGGCCCACCAAGGCUACGAUCAGUAGGGGUUCUGAGAGGAAGGUCACCCACAUUGGGACUGAGAAACGGUCCAAACUCCUACCGGAGGCGGCAGUGCGGAAUCUUUGUCAAUGGACGAGAGUCUGAACCAGCCAAGUAGCGUGCAGGAUGACGGCCCUAUGGGUUGUAAACUGCUUUUAUAAGGGAAUAAAGUGAGUCUCGUGAGACUUUUUGCAUGUACCUUAUGAAUAAGGACCGGCUAAUUCCGUGCCAGCCGCCGCGGUAA